rnacentral:rRNA from 1 species
UACAGAGGUCUCAAGCGUUGUUCGGAUUCAUUGGGCGUAAAGGGUGCGUAGGUGGCGCGGUAAGUCGGGUGUGAAAUUUCGGAGCUUAACUCCGAAACUGCAUUCGAUACUGCCGUGCUUGAGGACUGGAGAGGAGACUGGAAUUUACGGUGUAGCAGUGAAAAUGCGUAGAGAUCGUAAGGAAGACCAGUGGCGAAGGCGGGUCUCUGGACAGUUCCUGACACUGAGGCACGAAGGCCAGGGGAGCAAACGGG